UACGUAGGGUGCGAGCGUUAAUCGGAAUUACUGGGCGUAAAGGGUGCGUAGGCGGGUCUUUAAGUCAGGGGUGAAAUCCUGGAGCUCAACUCCAGAACUGCCUUUGAUACUGAAGAUCUUGAGUUCGGGAGAGGUGAGUGGAACUGCGAGUGUAGAGGUGAAAUUCGUAGAUAUUCGCAAGAACACCAGUGGCGAAGGCGGCUCACUGGCCCGAUACUGACGCUGAGGCACGAAAGCGUGAGGAGCAAACAGG
rnacentral:rRNA from 1 species